GCUUCUAGCCACCCCGCCUAUAUACCGCCGUCGCCAGCUUACCCUAUGAAGGUCCAACAGUAAGCCCAAAGAGCAUAACUCAAAACGUCAGGUCGAGGUGUAGCGCACGAAGCGGGAAGAAAUGGGCUACAUUUUCUAACCCUAGAACAUUGCGAACGACACAGUGAAACCUGAGUCCAAAGACGGAUUUAGCAGUAAAAAAGAAAUAGAGAGUCUUUUUGAAACCGGCCAUGGGACGCGCACACACCGCCCGUCACUCUCCUCAAAACAACACCCCACAUAUACAAAAACAAACAACCAACACAAGAGGAGGCAAGUCGUAACAUGGUAAGUGUACCGGAAGGUGCACUUGGAACAA
rnacentral:rRNA from 1 species